rnacentral:rRNA from 1 species
GACGAACGCUGGCGGCGUGCUUAACACAUGCAAGUCGAACGGAGUGGCGAACGGGUGAGUAUUACGUGAGUAACCUGCCCUCAACUGUGGGAUAAGCCUGGGAAACUGGGUCUAAUACUGCAAAGUGGGGGAGGGGCUCGCGGCCUAUCAGCUUGUUGGUGGGGUGGUGGGCUACCAAGGCGGGGACGGGUAGCCGGCCUGAGAGGGGGGUGGGGAGCAUUGGGAGGGGGAUACGGCCCAGGCUCCUACGAGUGGCAGCAGGGGGGGAUAUGGCACAAGGGGCGCAAGCCUGUUGCGGGUACGCCGCGUGGGGGAUGAAGGCUUUCGGGUUGUAAGCCUGUUUCGGUACAGAACGGGUAUGUGCAGAAGAAGCGCCGGCUAACUACGUGCCAGCAGCCGCGGUAAUUC